GUGGGGAAUAUUGGACAAUGGGCGCAAGCCUGAUCCAGCCAUACCGCGUGGGUGAAGAAGGCCUUCGGGUUGUAAAGCCCUUUUGUUGGGAAAGAAAUCCUGUCGGUUAAUACCUGGCGGGGAUGACGGUACCCAAAGAAUAAGCACCGGCUAACUUCGUGUCAGCAGCCGCGGUAAUACGAAGGGUGCAAGCGUUACUCGGAAUUACUGGGCGUAAAGCGUGCGUAGGUGGUGGUUUAAGUCCGUUGUGAAAGCCCUGGGCUCAACCUGGGAAUUGCAGUGGAUACUGGAUCACUAGAGUGUGGUAGAGGGAUGCGGAAUUUCUGGUGUAGCAGUGAAAUGCGUAGAGAUCAGAAGGAACAUCCGUGGCGAAGGCGGCAUCCUGGGCCAACACUGACACUGAGGCACGAAAGCGUGGGGAGCAAACAGGAUUAGAAACCCCGGUAGUCC
rnacentral:rRNA from 1 species